rnacentral:rRNA from 1 species
CCUACGGGGUGCAGCAGUAGGGAAUCUUCCACAAUGGGCGAAAGCCUGAUGGAGCAACGCCGCGUGGGUGAAGAAGGUCUUCGGAUCGUAAAACCCUGUUGUUAGAGAAGAAAGUGCGUGAGAGUAACUGUUCACGUUUCGACGGUAUCUAACCAGAAAGCCACGGCUAACUACGUGCCAGCAGCCGCGGUAAUACGUAGGUGGCAAGCGUUAUCCGGAUUUAUUGGGCGUAAAGGGAACGCAGGCGGUCUUUUAAGUCUGAUGUGAAAGCCUUCGGCUUAACCGGAGUAGUGCAUUGGAAACUGGGAGACGUGAGUGCAGAAGAGGAGAGUGGAACUCCAUGUGUAGCGGUGAAAUGCGUAGAUAUAUGGAAGAACACCAGUGGCGAAAGCGGCUCUCUGGUCUGUAACUGACGCUGAGGUUUGAAAGCGUGGGUAGCAAACAGGAUUAGAUACCCUUGUAGUC